GGAAGGAUCAUUACUGGAAAUGUAUUCUAGGUUGAAGCUGACUCUUUCGGGAGUAUUGUGCUCACCUUGAUUCCAAUCCAUCUUUACACCUGUGCACAUAUUGUAGUUUUGGGAUGGGGUAAAACUUGUCCUAACUCUACGUAUUUUUUACAUAUACUCUAUAAUAUGUUUAGAAUGUUUUAUUAUUUGCAAUAUAAACGCAUUUAAAAACAACUUUCAACAACGGAUCUCUUGGCUCUCGCAUCGAUGAAGAACGCAGCGAAAUGCGAUAAGUAAUGUGAAUUGCAGAAUUCAGUGAAUCAUCGAAUCUUUGAACGCACCUUGCGCUCCUUGGUAUUCCGAGGAGCAUGCCUGUUUGAGUGUCAUGAAUCUCUCAAACUCAAAAGGUUUUUUUGUUAAUUCAAGACUUUUUGUAGUUUGGACUUGGAGGUCUUUGCUGGUGUAAAUCAGCUCCUCUUAAAACUAUUAGCUUGGGUCUUUGUAUGUUGGAUCCUUGGUGUGAUAAUUAUCUACGCCAUGAUGUCCCUUCAACACCCUGCUUCUAAUCGUUAUCUUCACUGAUAACAAAUUCAUUUGACAUCUGACCUCAAAUCAGGUAGGACUACCCGCUGAACUUAAGCAUAUCAAUAAGCGGAGGAAAAGAAACUAACAAGGAUUCCCCUAGUAACUGCGAGUGAAGCGGGAAAAGCUCAAAUUUAAAAUCUGGCAUCCUUAGGGUGUCCGAGUUGUAUUCUGGAGAAGCGUUUUCCGUGCUGGACUGUGUAAAAGUCUCUUGGAAUAGAGCAUCAUAGAGGGUGAGAAUCCCGUCUUUGACACAGACUACCAGUGCUUUGUGAUGCGCUCUCAAAGAGUCGCGUUGUUUGGGAAUGCAGCGCAAAAUGGGUGGUAAAUUCCAUCUAAAGCUAAAUAUUGGCGAGAGACCGAUAGCGAACAAGUACCGUGAGGGAAAGAUGAAAAGCACUUUGGAAAGAGAGUUAAACAGUACGUGAAAUUGUUGAAAGGGAAACGCUUGAAGUCAGUCGCGUUAGUUGGGACUCAGCCUUGCAUUUUUGCUUGGUGUACUUCCUAGUUAACGGGCCAACAUCAAUUUUGACCAAUGGAAAAGGUUCAGGGGAAUGUGGCACCUUUGGGUGUGUUAUAGCCCCUGUUCACAUACAUUGGUUGGGAUUGAGGACCGCAGCACGCCUUUAUGGCCGGGGUUCGCCCACGUUCGUGCUUAGGAUGUUGGCAUAAUGGCUUUAAACGACCCGUCUUGAAACACGGACCAAGGAGUCUAACAUGCCUGCGAGUGUUUGGGUGCUAAACCCAUACGCGUAGUGAAAGCAAAAGUUGAGAUCCCUGUCGUGGGGAGCAUCGACGCCCGGUCUUGAGCCUUGGCGACAGAUCUGAGGUUGAGCAUGUAUGUUGGGACCCGAAAGAUGGUGAACUAUGCCUGAAUAGGGUGAAGCCAGAGGAAACUCUGGUGGAGGCUCGUAGCGAUUCUGACGUGCAAAUCGAUCGUCAAAUUUGGGUAUAGGGGCGAAAGACUAAUCGAACCAUCUAGUAGCUGGUUCCUGC
rnacentral:misc_RNA from 1 species